rnacentral:misc_RNA from 1 species
GAUGAAGAACGUAGUGAAAUGCGAUAAGUAAUGUGAAUUGCAGAAUUCAGUGAAUCAUCGAAUCUUCGAACGCACCUUGCGCUCCCUGGUAUUCCGGGGAGCACGCCUGUUCGAGUGUCGCGAAAUUCUUCAAGCCUUGGAUGGAUUUUUUUUUGUCUGUCCUUGGGCUUGGUUGUUGGGCUCUGCCGUGUCCUUCAUUGGGACGGCUGGCCUUAAAAGCAUUAGCCGAUCCUCGUGUGGUACUGGUUCUACUCAGCGUGAUAACAAUCUGAUCGUUGAGGACAUCUUCUGGAUGGCCAGUCAUCAUUUGGGUUGCUUCUAAACCGGUUUCGCAGAUUGCUCAAUCUGUGUGCCACUUUUCAGCUUUGACCUCGAAUCAGGUGGGACUACCCGCUGAACUUAAGCAUAUCAAUAAGCGGAGGA